GAUGAAUGCUGGCGGCGUGCCUAACACAUGCAAGUCGAGCGGUAACAGGAGUAGUUUACUACUUGCUGACGAGCGGCGGACGGCUGAGUAACGCGUGGGAACGUGCCCCAAAGUGAGGAAUAACUGCCCGAAAGGGUAGCUAAUACCGCAUAUGAUCUUCGGAUUAAAGGAUUCAUCCGCUUUGGGAGCGGCCCGCGUCGGAUUAGGUAGUUGGUGAGGUAAUGGCUCACCAAGCCCACGAUCCGUAGCUGGUCUGAGAGGAUGAACAGCCAGACUGGAACUGAGACUCGGUCCAGACUCCUACGGGAGGCAGCAGUGAGGAAUCUUCCACAAUGGGCGAAAGCCUGAUGGAGCAACGCCGCGUGCAGGAUGAAGGCCUUCGGGUCGUAAACUGCUUUUAUAAGUGAAGAAUAUGACGGUAGCUUAUGAAUAAGCACCGGCUAACUACGUGCCAGCAGCCGCCGUAAAA
rnacentral:rRNA from 1 species